AUUGAACGCUGGCGGCAUGCCUUACACAUGCAAGUCGAACGGCAGCAUGGAAGAGCUUGCUCUUCUGAUGGCGAGUGGCGAACGGGUGAGUAAAGCAUCGGAACGUACCGUGUAAUGGGGGAUAACGUAGCGAAAGUUACGCUAAUACCGCAUACGACCUGAGGGUGAAAGCAGGGGAUCGCAAGACCUUGCGUUAUACGAGCGGCCGAUGUCAGAUUAGCUAGUUGGUAGGGUAAAGGCCUACCAAGGCGACGAUCUGUAGCGGGUCUGAGAGGAUGAUCCGCCACAGUGGGACUGCGACACGGCCCAGACUCCUACGGGAGGCAGCAGUGGGGAAUUUUGGACAAUGGGGGAAACCCUGAUCCAGCCAUGCCGCGUGAGUGAAGAAGGCCUUCGGGUUGUAAAGCUCUUUCGGCCGGGAAGAAAUCGCACAGGCUAAUACUCUGUGUGGAUGACGGUACCGGCAUAAGAAGCACCGGCUAACUACGUGCCAGCAGCCGCGGUAA
rnacentral:rRNA from 1 species